ensembl:snoRNA SNORD42 Small nucleolar RNA SNORD42
GAGCAUAAGAAGAAAAAUUCUUAAUCUCCUGAGACUUGUGAUCUCUUUUAAGGAAUCGACUGAUGAAC